rnacentral:rRNA from 1 species
AGACGAACCGUCCAAACGUUAUUCGGUAUCACUGGGCUUAAAGCGUGCGUAGGCGGCCAUGAAGGUGUGAUGUGAAAGCCCACGGCUCAACCGUGGAAUUGCGUCGCAAACCACAUGGCUCGAGGAAGACAGGGGUGUCGGGAACUUAUGGUGGAGCGGUGAAAUGCGUUGAUAUCAUAGGGAACACCGGUGGCGAAGGCGCGACACUGGGUCUUUACUGACGCUGAGGCACGAAAGCUAGGGUAGCGAACGGGAUUAGAUACCCCGGUAGUCCUAGCCGUAAACGAUGAGCACUGGGUUGAGGGGACUUCCACAUUCUCUCGGCCGUAGCGAAAGCGUUAAGUGCUCCGCCUGGGGAGUAUGGUCGCAAGGCUGAA